rnacentral:tRNA from 1 species
GGAGAGGUCGCAUAGUGGCCUAGUGCGCGCGCUUGGAAAGCGCGUAAGUCCGCAAGGGCUUCGAGAGUUCGAAUCUCUCCCUCUCCG